GCAAAACGCGAAGAACCUUACCAAGGCUUGACAUCCCCUUGACCGGCACAGAGAUGUGCCCUCUCCUUCGGGAGCAAGGGUGACAGGUGGUGCAUGGUUGUCGUCAGCUCGUGUCGUGAGAUGUUGGGUUAAGUCCCGCAACGAGCGCAACCCUUAUCCUUAGUUGCCAGCAUUUAAGGUGGGCACUCUAAGGAGACUGCCGAUGAUAAAUCGGAGGAAGGUGGGGAUGACGUACAAAUCAUCAUCGCCCCUUAUGUCGUUGGGCUACACACGUGCUACAUGGUCGUAACAAGGGGAGCGAAGGAGUGAUCUGGAGCAAAUCCCAAUAAACCGAUCUCAGUUCGGAUUGUAGGCUGCAACUCGCCUACAUGAAGUCGGAGUUGCUAGUAAUCGCGAAUCAGAACGUCGCGGUGAAUGCGUUCCCGGGUCUUGUACACACCG
rnacentral:rRNA from 1 species